rnacentral:rRNA from 1 species
AGAGUUUGAUCCUGGCUCAGGAUGAACGCUAGCGGCAAGCUUAAUACAUGCAAGUCGAGGGGCAGCAGCUUUGUAGCAAUACAGAGGCUGGCGACCGGCAAACGGGUGCGGAACACGUACAGAACCUUCCUUCGAGCGGGGAAUAGCCCAGAGAAAUUUGGAUUAAUACCCCAUAGUAUUAUGGAGUGGCAUCACUUUGUAAUUAAAGAUUUAUCACUUGAAGAUGGCUGUGCGGCUGAUUAGAUAGUUGGUGAGGUAACGGCUCACCAAGUCUGCGAUCAGUAACUGGUGUGAGAGCACGACCAGUCACACGGGCACUGAGACACGGGCCCGACUCCUACGGGAGGCAGCAGUAAGGAAUAUUGGUCAAUGGACGAAAGUCUGAACCAGCUAUGCCGCGUGGAGGAUGAAGGCCCUCUGGGUUGUAAACUUCUUUUAUAUGGGACGAAAAAGGGCCUUUCUAGGUCAACUGACGGUACCAUGUGAAUAAGCACCGGCUAACUCCGUGCCAGCAGCCGCGGUAAU